rnacentral:tRNA from 1 species
GUUUAAAUAGUUUAAUUAAAAUAUUGAUUUGUGGUGUCAAUGAUGAAAAUUGUUUUCUUUAAACC